rnacentral:tRNA from 2 species
GGCCCUUUCGUCUAAUGGUUAGGACGGCGCCCUCUCACGGCGCAAAUACGGGUUCGAAUCCCGUAGGGGUCACCA